GUGAGGAAUAUUGGUCAAUGGGCGAGAGCCUGAACCAGCCAAGUCGCGUGAAGGAAGAAGGAUCUAUGGUUCGUAAACUUCUUUUGCAGGGGAAUAAAGUGCAGGACGUGUCCUGUUUUGUAUGUACCCUGAGAAUAAGGAUCGGCUAACUCCGUGCCAGCAGCCGCGGUAAUACGGAGGAUCCGAGCGUUAUCCGGAUUUAUUGGGUUUAAAGGGUGCGUAGGUGGUUUGAUAAGUCAGCGGUGAAAGUUUGCAGCUUAACUGUAAAAAUGCCGUUGAAACUGUCGGACUUGAGUGUAAAUGAGGUAGGCGGAAUGCGUGGUGGAGCGGUGAAAUGCAUAGAUAUCACGCAGAACUCCGAUUGCGAAGGCAGCUUACUAAGCUACAACUGACACUGAAGCACGAAAGCGUGGGGAUCAAACAGGAUUAGAAACCCUUGUAGUCC
rnacentral:rRNA from 1 species